rnacentral:rRNA from 1 species
UACGUAGGUGACAAGCGUUGUCCGGAUUUACUGGGCGUAAAGAGCGCGCAGGCGGUCGUUCAAGUCGAGUGUGAAAGCCCCCGGCUCAACUGGGGAGGGUCACUCGAUACUGAUCGACUCGAAGGCAGGAGAGGGUAGUGGAAUUCCCGGUGUAGUGGUGAAAUGCGUAGAUAUCGGGAGGAACACCGGUGGCGAAGGCGGCCAACUGGACGAGUACUGACGCUGAGACACGAAAGCGUGGGGAGCAAACAGG